GAAGCAGCUGCAGGGGACGACCAUGGCUGUCUAGGAGUUCCGCCCCGCCGCCAAUAGGUGUCCUCGUCGCCCUCUGGUGCCGGGAAGCCCCGGAUCCGGUAGCCCUCGUCCCGAUCUACCCAUUCCCGGUUGAAACUCGCCGGCAGGGCCCGUCCCCGUCGUGCCCUUGGCCGUUCACCAUCGGCCUGACUUCGUAGCUCCACCAACCGACAGAUCUGGCCACAGGUGAGCCUCCGUGCCGCGCCAUAUAGUUGUACAAAACGAAUCUGUGUUAGGAUAGAACCUCCCUCGUAGUCCAACUGGCAAGGAAGGAGAUGCUCAUCCAAGAGGUCUCGGGUUCGAAACACCACGACUGCACAUUCUUUUUCUGCAUUUUCUCCUUCGAGGAUGAGCUGGUGUUGCCGUUUCAUUUAGUUUAUAAGCCCGUUUCAUUUAGUUUAUAAGCCCAGUUAUUUCGUGUGCAAGUAGGCAGCCCAGCUGGUUAGCGGCAGGCCUUUGUAUCUAGGAGGUUGUAGGAUCAAACCCAUGGGUGCCUUAUUCUUUUUGCUGGCUGUGUUUUUUUCUCUCUUGCCCACAGCUGUCUUGGGCCGAUUUCAGCCCCGGGCCACUGCACAAUAGUGCAAUUCGGUCCACUGUGUUUUUUCUUUAAUAUCGUGUGAUUGUCCAAUUUCUAGGGUCUUUGCUAAUUUCAGGAAAGGCAUUGUUUUUCAAACGAGCGUAGUUUCUAAUCCGUGUAUCGGUUCGAAGUUAUUCAAAUUUGUAGCUUUACUAGAAUUUCACGUAGGUUAAUAAUUUCCAACUCUCAUGCAUAAUUAGAUCUGUUUAGUGUGUUGUUUGCAUCGGUUUGCAUGCCUUCGUGUUAAAAACGGUUUAGAUCGUAACUAUUUGUGCGUAGCUCCAUUGGAGAUGUGCCAUAUAUGUAAAUGGUGCAGAACGACGAGUAGAAUCACGAGAACCACUUUGCCUUUCCGUUUAACAAACCUAAAAUGUGAUUAGGACAAAUCUGGACAAAAUUGUAAUUUAACACAUGGGGUCAUUUCGGAGAUGCUAUAUGUUGUUUCCGGUCUCAUUUAAAAUGCCUAGAUAGGUAGUUUAAUUUGUGCUUCACCCCUUGCCAUGUUAACAACAUUUUAAAUAUUGCCGUGUAAAUUAACAGGAGUGAACUGAACAAUUAAAUGUGGAGUUUCGUCGAUAUGCAACCCGUUGCAUAUCGAGCUUCACUUAAUGUGUAGUGUUUGAUUGUUGUGAUUGUCAUGCCUUGCAUUAGACCGUUCAUGCAUCAUGUGUGUCUUGCAUCGUGUGAUGUAUAUCGUGUGUUGAUGCUUGUUUCCGGUUUCCUCCGUCUCGAUAGAGUUCCGCAGGUGUGUCGGAUGUGAGGACCGUUCGACUACGUCGGUUCGUCUGCUUCACGGAGUCACUCUUCUUCCAAACGGGAUCUCAGGCAAGAUGAUCAUUUCCCCAGAUACCAUUACUAUCAUUGCCAUGCUAGUUUUUUCGCUGCUAUCGAUUAUGUCUCGUUGCCUACCACAUGUGAAAUAUCAGCCUCUCUACAAUGCCAUGAAACCUUCAACCUGUUCAACCUAGCAAACCACUGAUUGGCUAUGUUACUGCUUGCUUAACCAUGUUGAUAGCCAGGUGCAGAUGCUUCCAUGUGAAAACAUGGGUUCCUUGUCAUAUCACCAUAUUAAAUGCUAUUUAAUUUAAUGCACCUAUAUACUUUGUAAAAGGUGGAAGGCUCGGCCUUUCUAGCCUGGUGUUUUGUUCCACCUUUGCCCCCUUAGUUUCGGCUACCGGUGUUAUGUUCCAUAAAUGAGCGCUCCUAACACGAUCGGGGUUGUUAUGGGGACCCCCUUGAUAAUUCGUUUUAGUUUAAAGCUGGUCUGGCAAGGCCCAACAUUGGUUUUACAUUUGCCCAACAUAAUAAUUUUGUUAACACUGAAAUGCAUAGGGAGUUAGCGCUACCCGAGGAGUAAUUUUACAUAAACAGGAGGGGCCAGUGCUGAUGGUGUUGGUCCCAAACGGUCUGCCUGCGGGGCCACCGCGAGGAAACUCGAGGUUUGGCACCCGUAGCUAGUUCCAUCUGUCGUGUCCUGAGAACGAGAUACGCGGCUCCUAUCGGCUUCGUCGACACGUCGGGCGGCCUUGCUGGAUUAGUUUUACCUUUGACGAGAUAUCUUGUGCAUCGGGAUUCCGGUGAUGCUUUGGGUAAUCUCAGAGUUGAGGUUUUCCACUAGGGAAUCCGACGAGAUCGCGAGCUUCGUGAUUGAGGAUUUCUAUGUGGCUUGUGGUAAUUUGUAAUGGACUAGUUGGAGCACCCCUGCAGGGUUAAAUCUUUCGGAAAACCGUGCCCGCGGUUAUGUGGCAACGUGGAAGCUUUGUUUAACACUGGUUCUAGAUAACUUGAAGUUAACUUAACUAAAACACGCCAACUGUGUGCGUAACCGUGACUAUCUCUUUCGUGAGUUUCUUCUCCGAUCGAGGACACGGUGGGGUUAUGUAUGACGUAGGUAGGUGUUCAGGAUCAUUCAUUUGAUCAUUAGUAGACACUUCCGUUAUGCGUAGAUCUUCCCCCUCUUGUUUCUUGUACACGUAAGUUUAGCCACCAAAUAUAUGCUUAGCCGCUGCUACAACCUCACCACUUAACCAUGCCUCACCCAUUAAGCUUUGCUAGUCUUGAUACCUUUGGAAAUGAGAUUGUUGAGUCCCGUGUGGCUCACAGAUUACUACAACACCAGUUGCAGGUACAGGUAAAGGUUACUUAACGCGAGCGCGUUGGUUGUUCAUUUGGAGUUGCCUCUUCUUCUUCAUCAAUCUAGGAUGGGUUCCAGGCCGGCAGCCUGGGAUAGCAAGGAUGGACGUCGUUUUUAUUUUUCUCGUUUGUUUUCGUCCGUAGUCGGACCCUGCUCUUACUCUUGAUGAUUAUGUAAUGUACUGAUGUGACUCUGAUGUAGCUUGUGGCGAGUGUAAGCCAACUCUGUAUAUAUAUCUCUUCUUUUCAGUACAUGUACUUGUAACGAUAUCCAUUCUUGCGACACGAUGAGAUGCGCUUCUAUCCUUGACGAGGCCUUCGUGCCAAAUUGAGGAUAGGGUCGCAUCUUGGGCGUGACAACCCUCUGCCCUCUUCUUCUCAGCUUCAAGGGCGAGACGAUUGGCCUCGGAUGGUGAAGACAUGGCGAUAACGAGGGCGACGCGGAUGUAGACGAAGCAGAUGGACGGAGGCGAG
rnacentral:lncRNA from 1 species